rnacentral:rRNA from 1 species
UAAAUAGCCAGGUUGACUUUUGUCGGCCGCCGGCUUCUUAGAGGGACUUUUGGCUCAAGCCAAUGGAAGUACGAGGCAAUAACAGGUUAACCUUGAGUUACAACUCAUCACAGGCCUGUAACAGCGAACC